CUAGUAGUAAGUAGUAACUCAAUGUUCGAAUAUUAACUUGAUUUGGGUGCCUAAGCAAGUAUAGUGUGCCCUGUUUACUUGUCUCAGCAGAAAUGCCCUGUUUACUAGCAUUGCCCUAGUUUUCUGUCACUCAAUUUGUGUGGCAGGGCCAAGAUGAGUAUGAUACUAUCAACUAGCCACCCAAAUGAAGCUGAUAGUUGGCUGCCAAGAUGGAGAUCUCCAAAAGAACAAACGGCAUAUGACAAAGCACUGAAAGCAAAAACUAUGAAAUGAAGAUUAAAGAGCAGACCUCUAUUACUGAAAUCAUAUAACUUUCACCAUCCAUGUGCUUAACAAAUGUCUCUGUUAACAGUGAAAACAUCCCAUAAAAAUACUAGGAACAUUUUAUUAGUUGUAUGAGUCAAACUUAGUAUAGUUAGCAACAAGAUAACUCAUGGAACUAACUACGAGAAGCAUAGAAUUUGCAGAGGGCAGUGCUGGAUAGAGCUCUAAUUCUAUUGCACAUGGUCAUGUUUUUGUUCUUAACCUUAUCCAGAACGAGGGAUAGCAGUAACACAUUGUUGACUGGGAUUUUUGAGAAAGUUGAUCUCACAGCCACAAUUUUAAAUUAGCAUUACGAUCCCAGUGUCCAGAUAAUGAAAUGCAUGGAAUCACUAGUUUAUAAAAACAACCUGAUGAAGAACAACAUAAGUAUCGACAAUGAAAAUGGUGGAAACAAGCAUGCAAAGUAUCACAGAUUUGGUAAGCUGUAGCUCUACAGUAAAUGCCGCUAGGGUUUCAAUUCAGAAGUCAGAAGAUACCUUCUUUACUUUGCUGGCCUUGGUCUUCCGGCUGAAAAUGUUGCUCUGUAACAUCUUCUCAAUUGAUUUCUGCCUCCAGCCUCCAACAAUCUAUUUUUCUUUUUUGGCUUGAAUUGUUUUCAUGUUGUUCAAUUUGAGUUGUGCUGCUUUUUGUGCAGUUGAAGCAAAGAAUCAGGAAGUGUUACACUGCUGGGUGAAGGUUUAAAAACCAGAUUAAAAUGCAGGGCGCUCAUACCUGACUGACUGCCUGCCUUGUAAUUCCUCAACCCGAACCCAUAAAUUAAAACAUCCCCACCAUGCAAGCUUCUAGCAUAAGGUUUUCUCUCUUGUUUAAUUAUUAUAAUUUCUUUUUUUGGCAUAAACUGAUUUUAAGAAGAUUGCUCACUUGGGAUCUUUCCUCAGAACUUCAAAUUGUCCACGAUCAUGUGGACAAUGAUAAGGCUUACAAUAAAUAU
rnacentral:lncRNA from 1 species